AUUUUAAAGCAUCAUCUUGUAUUGUAAUCGCCGUUAGAUUGGCUAUCUAAUUGCGUCUCUCGGCUAGCGAACACGAUGGUCAAGUUUAUGAAACCCGGAAGAGUCCUCCUUCUAGUCCGAGGCCGACACGCCGGAAAGAAGGCCGUCAUCAUCCAGACCUUCGAUGAGGGAUCUGCCAAACGUCAUUAUCCUCAUGCUAUUGUCAUUGGAAUCGACAGACCACCUCGCCAAAUCAAGAAGUCAAUGCCCGACAAAAAAUUAAUAAGACGUUCGCGCGUCGUUCCGUUCAUCAAGUAUGUCAACUACAGACAUUUGAUGCCCACAAGGUACAACAUCGACGUGUCCGACAUUUUGAAGGUUGUCAACCCUCAAACCAUCGCACUCGGACGUCGCACUCGAACCAAGGCACGCAUCAGAUCAAUCCUGCAAAAGCGCUAUUACUCAGGACAGAGCCCUUGGCUAUUUACGCGCUUUCGAUUCUAAAACUUUGUGCAUUACUCUGUUUUCCGUACAAUAUCCGUAAUAAAAUGCCGAAUGAGGGUUCAUGACUUUAUUAGA